rnacentral:lncRNA from 10 species
CUUUUAACAGCACCCAAGUCACCUCUUGAAUGCUUUGCUGCUUAGAAAUUUCUUCCACUAAAUACCCUAAGUCAUCUCCCUCAAGUUCAAAGUUCUACAUAUCUCUAGGGCAGGGGCGAAAUGCCACCACUCUCUUUGCUAAAACAUAGCAAGAAUCACUUUUACAGUAGUUCCCAAUGAGUUCCUCAUCUCUAUCUGAGACCAUCUCAGCCUGAAUUUUAUUGUCCAUAUCAUUAUCAGCAGUUUGGUCAAAGGCAUUCAACAAGUCCCUAGGAAGUUCCAAACUUUCCCACAUUUUUCUGUCUUCUUCUGAGCCCUCCAAACUGUCUCAACUGCUGCCUAUUACCCAGUUCCACAUUUUUGGGUAUCUUUACGGCAGCACACCACCCUACUGGUUAUUCAACAGGAGUUAUUAUCUAUGAAAGAAGUACAACAGAAAUGUAAAAAACUUGAGGAGGUUAACAAAAUUUUGGAACAAGAAGUAGUGAAUCUUAAGACACAUGAAAAAAAUAUGGUAGAAUUUGGUGACGUAGAAGAAUGUAAAUUGCAGUUGGAAGAAAGAGCAGGACAGGAAAUAGAAAAAUUAGAAGAAAUCAAUUUACAGGUUAGUUUUUUUAAUCAGGUAGGUUUAUCUGUAAUGUGCUUUCAUUUAUUUCACUGCAAAUUAUAAUAUAGACAUACAGUGUUUUGUCUGCCUCUCUUAUAGGAAUUUGCUUUGUAGAGUUUUAGAAAAAAAGGUGGCACCUGUUUCUUAUUUUAAAUAUUUAAAUUUCCAUCAUGAUUAUAACUAAGUUGAUCUUUCAGAGUAGUGAGUUUCACUAUACAGUCAUUUGGUUAUUAAAACCAGUUAGCAUAAGACUAUUAGAAAAAGAAAACUCUGAUUUAAAAUUAUAUGGUACUUUUGAAUUGGUCUUACGCUACAUUGUUCAGUUUUUAACAUUUCCAAUGGAUUCUAUUAUUUUUAAAUGAUUAGAUUACAUGAACACUAACAAGAAUGAUUUCAAAUUUUUAUAAUUCAUAUUUAAUUCUGAAUUCUGUUAUCAAUUUAGAUGAAAUUGCUAAUAGAUGUUUUAAACUUCAGCCCCUUUUUAAAACACAUAUUUAAAAUUGCUUUCUGAAUCACUGACUCAAAAUGAAAGGCAACAAAUAGAGACUAAUUAGGUUAUAAUUGUUUUAAAAGUAUGAUUUUUUAUUUGUUUUAGAAACAAGCAGAAUAUGAAAAACACAGCAGUUAAAAGAGAAUAAUAUGGCUUUGAUGAAUAAAAGAGAACUCUGACUGAAAGACGUGGAAUGUCAAUUCUCCAAAAUGAAAACCGCUUAUGAAGAGCUUACUACGGAAUUAGAAGAAUAUAAGGAAGUCUUUGCAAUAACAUUAAAAGCUAACAAAUCCAUGUCAAAAAAUUUAAAGAAAUAAGUCAAAACAUACACUUGUAGAAAAUCAAUCAAGUUCAUUAAUUUGCCAUGAAAGCAUAAUUUUUAGUGAGACAACUUCAUGAGAUUAGUAGGAAGUGAAAGCUAUCCUGAUAGUAUAAUUUUUGAAAAUAAUGCUAGUAAAUAAACUUACAUUUAAAAUGUUAGUCAAGGACAGUUUCUGUCUCUUCCCUCAUUUUUUUUUUAACUUUUGUAUGGCCUUUUCCCCUGAAAAAUCUUACGUAGUUAACCUAGUCUAUUAGUCUUUUAGCAUUUUUGAAGCUUUAUGGUCAAUAAAGUGAUCUUGCUGUAAAAUUACUUUUCAGAAUUCUUCUAAAUGGAAAUAUUAAUGAAUUUAAUUUGUUUUUUAGUAGGUCACAAUCUAAACUCAAAGUGCCCAAACUACUACUAUUCUGGGCACGUCCUGGCAUUUAGUAACUUAACUUUCCUGAUUGUGAUUUUUAGUAUUAUCACUAGAGGGCGCUUUGAGACAAACUUUUCUGUAUAGUUUUUUCAGUCUACAGGAAGACAUGCUUGUGAAAUAGGGAAUGAUUAUCCUAGGGAUGAAAGAAAGUGUAAUUUACAAAGUUGUUUAAAAAUAACACCUUGGUCAGCCUGAAGGGGUGUGUGGAAGACAGAAAGGGCAAGCCCCACCUCCAGUGCCUUGGUCACAAUGCUAAGGGCUGAUUGCCUUCAGAGAUGCUUUAGUUCUUUUUGAUCACCAAUCCAACCAUCUAGUUCUCUCCUAGGAGUUCUUGCUCUGAAUUAUUUCUCAGUGUGAAAUGCUUAUUUUUUCCUAGAUAAUGGGUGAAAUGUACAAGGGUGGUGAAAACAAAUGUUUGAAAAUAUAUUUAGGAGUGAUUUCUAAAAUCCUGAAACUGGUUUCUAAAUACAAGUAUUUCUAGCUUCUGUUUUUGUUUGUUUUUGUUUUUGUUUUAGUUUUCUUAAUUGUAUAUUAUUUAAGGCAUACAACACGUUACUAUAUGUUUAUUCAUAGUGAAGUUGUUCUUAUAGUCAAGCAAAUUAACAUAUCAUCUCACAUAGUUACCUUUAAAUACAAGUAUUUCUUUUUUUUUUUUUAAUUUUCCCGAGAUGGAGUCUUGCUUUGUUGCCCAGGCUGGCGUGCAGUGGCGCAAUCUCAGCUCACUGCAACCUCCGCCUCCCAGGUUCAAGCAAUUCUUCUGCCUCAGCCUCCCAAGUAGCUAGGAUUACAGGCGCCCACCACUGCACCUGGCUAAUUUUUGUAUUUUUAGUAGAGGCAGGUUCUCACCAUGUUGGCCAGGCUGGUCUCGAACUCCUGACCCGGUGAUCUGCCCGCCUCAGCCUCCCAAAGUGCUGGGAUUACAGAUAUGAGCCACUGUGCCCAGCCUGAAUA